AUUGAACGCUGGCGGCAUGCCUUACACAUGCAAGUCGAACGGUAACAGGUCUUCGGAUGCUGACGAGUGGCGAACGGGUGAGUAAUACAUCGGAACGUGCCUAGUAGUGGGGGAUAACUACUCGAAAGAGUGGCUAAUACCGCAUGAGAUCUACGGAUGAAAGCAGGGGAUCGCAAGACCUUGUGCUACUAGAGCGGCCGAAGGCAGAUUAGGUAGGUGGUGGGAUAAAAGCUUACCAAGCCGCCGAUGUGUAGACGGGCUGAGAGGACGAGCAGCCCAGCGGGGACUGAGAGACGGCCCCGACUCCUACGGGGGGGAGCAGUGGGGAAAUUUGGGAAAUGGGGGGCAGCCUGGUCCAGCAAUGCCGCGGGGAGGGUGGAGGGCUUCGGGUUGUAAACUGCUUUUGUACGGAACGAAAAGCCCCGGGUUAAUACCCUGGGGUCAUGACGGUACCGUAAGAAUAAGCACCGGCUAACUACAUGCCAGCCGCCGCCGUAA
rnacentral:rRNA from 1 species